GCAUCAUGAUGUGAAGCAUGGUGGCGGCAGCAUCAUGAUGUGAAGCAUGGUGGUGGCAGCAUCAUGAUGUGAAGCAUGGUGGUGGCAGCAUCAUGAUGUGAAGCACGGUGGUGGUAGCAUCAUGAUGUGAAGCAUGGAGGUGGCAGCAUCAUGAUGUGAAGCAUGGUGGUGGCAGCAUCAUGAUGUGAAGCAUGGUGGCGGCAGCAUCAUGAUGUGAAGCAUGGUGGCGGCAGCAUCAUGAUGUGAAGCAUGGUGGUGGCAGCAUCAUGAUGUGAAGCAUGGUGGUGGCAGCAUCAUGAUGUGAAGCAUGGUGGUGGCAGCAUCAUGAUGUGAAGCAUGGUGGUGGCAGCAUCAUGAUGUGAAGCACGGUGGUGGCAG
ensembl:lncRNA